rnacentral:ncRNA from 1 species
AAUUAGCAAGGACCACCUUGCAAGCCUCUGACGGGGCUCCUGACUGACCUAUAGUGAAGUAGUACCGUGAGGGAAGGGUGAAAAGAACCCCCAUCGGGGAGUGAAAUAGAAGAUGAAACCAUCAGUUUCCAAGUAGUGGGAGGAGACCAGGACUCUGACCGCGUACCUAUUGAAG